GGGCGGCCCCCAAGUCCCCACACAAGGUGGGGGUGCUGCGCGGCACGGGGAGGCCCGGGAGAUGCUCGGGAUGGGGAAAAUCCUCAGCUCCGGCCCCUUCUGAUGUUCUGCCAAUGGAAUGGAAGCAGUCCAGAGUAGGGAAGAGAGAGCCACAUCCUGUCUGGAAUCGGACAUCCAUCCCCUCAUCUCUGGCUGGGUUCAUGGGGACACAGCUAACCUCAAGCAGGACAAAUGUGGUCCCACUGGACUACACUGUCCCUGGAGGCUGCACAAUCCAGGCUGUUGGGGGGUCCCUGCCCUUGGGAAUUCAGCUCCUGGAGGCAAAUGGAUAUUGGGCCUUGAGAAGAUCCAAAGAAGUCUAGAGAACCACUCCCGUCUCUGUUGCUUCGUGCUGUGGAGGUGGUAUCGGGCAGGGUCUGCACACAUCUGGAAGGGCAGCCUGGACCAAACCUUUGAUGAGACUCUGCUCCAAAAACAAGAUGCAAUGCCUGGUCUCUCCUGGUGUGUGAGCCCUUUGGUGGCCUGGUUUUGGACUUAUCCUCCAAGCCUUCCCCAGGCACAUACUCUCUCUGCUUCUCUCUCUCUCUCUUUUGCACUGUCUCACUUUCUAUGUCUCCUUCUUUUUCAUCUUUUUAUUUUCUUCUUUUUCCUUCAUCUUUUUUGCUGUCUCUUUUCUUUCUUUAUCUCUCUCCAUCCUUCACUCUGUCCUCUCUCUCCACACACCCUUCUCUCCCUUUCUAUAUGAUCUCCA
rnacentral:lncRNA from 1 species